GAUGCUAUGGAAGAUCAGAAAAUAUAAAUUUAUGAACUGCUAUAAACUGUUAUUUUCUUCGUGAAGAUCAGCCUCCCGGUUCAUCACAUGACUCAGCUAAGAGAAAAUAUCCAGUGGCUCAUCGUUACCUGUGGGAGGAGGUCUGAACUCCAUGGCUUUGCAUUCAUGUUCUUGUUUGUCUCACUUCCACCUUCAUUCCCUCCAAGUCCUCGCUGUCCUCCCAGGGUUCCUCUGCUACAGCCAGGGGAGUCUGAUCCCUGUUUCCUAAAUUUCUCUGAAGCUUAUCUACACCUAUGUUUUUGCUCCACUCUUCUUUCUCCUUUAUACACCAAUUAUUCUCCUGUUUUAUCCAAAUUAUUCCCUUCUGCAAGACUCACAUCAAGUACAAUUUCUUUC
rnacentral:antisense_RNA from 1 species